rnacentral:piRNA from 1 species
UCCAAUGGUGUCCCCAAUUUCAGGGAGUC